rnacentral:rRNA from 1 species
AAUGAACGCUGGCGGCGUGCCUAAUACAUGCAAGUCGAACGACAGGACGAGAAGCUGCCUUCUCUGAUGUUAGGGGCAGGCGGGAGAGUUACACGGGGACAUCCUACGUAUUAGACUGUAAUAACUUGGAAGCAGCGGUGCUACUACAUACGAAUCAUUGGUACAGCAGGGUUCAAUAGUGAAAUACGGUUUUACUGUCACUUAUAGAUGGAUCCGCGCUUCAUUAGCUAGUUGGUAAGGUAACGGCAUACCAAGGCAACGAUGCAUAGCCGAUCUGAGAGGGUGAUCGGCCACACUGGAACUGAGACACGGCCCAGACUCCUACGGGAGGCAGCAGUAGGGAAUUUUGCACAAUGGGCGAAAGCCUGAUCCAGCAAUGCCGCGUGAGUGAAGAAGGCCUUCGGGUCGUAAAGCUCUGUUGUUCGGGAAGAAAAUCUGGGUAAGAAAACGGGCAGAUGUUGACGGUACCGGAACAGAAAGCACCGGCUAACUACGUG